rnacentral:rRNA from 1 species
GGAUUAGAUACCCUGGUAGUCCACGCCGUAAACGGUGGGCACUAGAUGUGGGGCUCAUUCCAUGAGUUCCGCGUCGCAGCUAACGCAUUAAGUGCCCCGCCUGGGGAGUACGGCCGCAAGGCUAAAACUCAAAGGAAUUGACGGGGGCCCGCACAAGCGGCGGAGCAUGCGGAUUAAUUCGAUGCAACGCGAAGAACCUUACCAAGGCUUGACAUAUACCCUCUACCCCCAGAGAUGGGGGGUGCUUCGGCGGGGUAUACAGGUGGUGCAUGGUUGUCGUCAGCUCGUGCCG